rnacentral:lncRNA from 1 species
UCAGAGCUUUUCAUUAGUAGGUAUAGGGUGGGGUCAAAGAAUUUGGACUUUUCACAAGUUCCCAGAUGAUAUUAGUCUUAGAGCUACAUGCACAAUUACUGGUUUAAACAAAUAGAGGUGAGAAACAUCAAUGGAUAAGUGAGGGAUGGUCUAGAGGCAGACUUCCCAGGCCUGGAACUAUGGUUGUGUGAUACUUUAGGAUCCUAGACUCCCUUCUGCUCCAUAAUCCUUAGACCUCUUGGUUUCAUGAUAGCUCCUGAGCUCCAAGUUCCAUUCAAGGGAGAAAAAGAGAGAGAGAGAGAGAGAGAGAGAGAGAGAGAGAGAGAGAGAGAGAGAGAGAGAGAGAGAAAGCUUCACCAGUAUUUACCUCCCUUAACUCCUGCCUGGGAAUGUCUGCUUGCAGUUUUUAGCUAGAACUGUGUCACAUAGAGGAUGUUACCUGUAACAGUGACUUGAAAAUGUGGGCUUUUUUUGUAGACAGGUAAGUGGCUACCUUGAAUAAAACUGGAUGUGGCAGACAUGUGUUCUUUGUGAUUGUGAUGAUAAGGUUUCUAAUGUCUCAUCAUUAAGAUGUUAUUGGCUUCUUAUUUUGAUGAAGAUUCUCUCCUUGACCAAACUCAUUAAUCAGUGAAGUCUUUUUUAACUAAGUCUCUCUCUCUCUCUCUUUUUUUUUUUUUUUAAUUUCAGGGUGUAUCCUUACCUUGUCUAAUUUUAGAAGAAUCCUGGUAAGUCAGUUUAACCGGAAGUCCCCAUCCUCAAAAUCUGAUCACCCUCAAUAUCUAAUAGAGUUCCUCUUCCUCUUUCCACUGGGGAUGCCAGAUCAACCCAGCCUGCCUUCAGCAGGAAUCCUGUUUUGUUGGUGUAACCAGAAUUCCCCCUGAUCACUAAUGUUUCCUCUUGGAAAUUUUCUGUCGAUUGCCCCACACUUUGCUCCCUGUGUAUAAAUUCCAGUCUGCCCAUGUUAUUUGUGGAAUUGAUACCUGUUCAAUACUGAGGUCUCUUUCACAGUAUCACAAUAGUCUUAAGUAAAAUCUGUUUUUACUGCUUUACCUAUUGUCCAACUCUGAUUUUUCUGUGAUGAUAUUAAGGAGAUGUCU